GUUCAAAUUAUAACCGCUCUGGGGUAGACAAGCCGCUGUUUCUGAACCAACCCAAGUGCAGGUGGUACAUCUUCUAAUUGGUCUGACCCUGACGGCAAGUCAAGUGCUACCUGGGGGAGAUCGGAAGGGCAGCGCACAGACUUCCGAAAUGUCAAAGGUAAGCGCGAGGCAGAGGCAGAUGUGGCUGGUCCCUUGCCAUGUUACCCU
rnacentral:lncRNA from 1 species